rnacentral:rRNA from 1 species
GACGAACGCUGGCGGCGUGCCUAAUACAUGCAAGUAGAACGCUGAAGCGAGGAGCUUACUCUUCUUGGAUGAGUUGCGAACGGGUGAGUAACGCGUAGGUAACCUGCCUUGUAGCGGGGGAUAACUAUUGGAAACGAUAGCUAAUACCGCAUAACAAUGGAUGACACAUGUCAUUUAUUUGAAAGGGGCAAUUGCUCCACUACAAGAUGGACCUGCGUUGUAUUAGCUAGUAGGUGAGGUAAUGGCUCACCUAGGCGACGAUACAUAGCCGACCUGAGAGGGUGGUCGGCCACACUGGGACGGAGACACGGCCCAGACUCCUACGGGAGGCAGCAGUAGGGAAUCUUCGGCAAUGGGGGCAACCCUGACCGAGCAACGCCGCGUGAGUGAAGAAGGUUUUCGGAUCGUAAAGCUCUGUUGUAAGUCAAGAACGGGUGUGAGAGUGGAAAGUUCACACUGUGACGGUAGCUUACCAGAAAGGGACGGCUAACUACGUG